GACUUGUGGAUAGGGGUGAAAGGCCAAUCAAACCCGGUGAUAGCUGGUUCUCCCCGAAAUAUAUUGAGGUAUAGCCUUGCGGAUUGUCUUAUGGAGGUAAAGCUCUGACAGAACUAGGGGUCCUAUCCGACUACCGAAUUCUUUCAAACUCUGAAUACCAUUAAGAUUUACCGCAGGAGUCAGACGGCGGGUGCUAAGGUUCGUCGUCAAAAGGGCAACAGCCCAGACCGACAGCUAAGGCCUCCAAAUGCAUGCUCAGUGGUUAAGGUGGUGGCGUUGUGUAGACACCCAGGACGUUGGCUUAGAAGCAGCCAUCGUUUAAAGAAAGCGUAAUAGCUCACUGGUUCAAUGGCGCUGCGCCGAAAAUGUAACGGGGCUAAGCAUGCUGCCGAAGCUUCGGAUUUGUCUCUGACAACUGGUAGGGGAGCGUUCUCUGCGGGCUGAAGCGGAACCGAAAGGUUUCGUGGACUGCAGAGAAGUGAUUAUGCUGACAUGAGUAACGAUAAAAUAUGUGAAAAACAUAUUCGCCGUAAAUCCAAGGUUUCCUGGGUAAAGGUAAUCUUCCCAGGGUUAGUCGGACCCUAAGGCCAGGCUGAAAGGCGUAGCUGAUGGGAAACGGGUUAAUAAUCCUGUACUUGUGCGAUUGUGCGAAGAAGGGACGCAGGAUGGUAGACAGGCCGGUUUUUGGAAUCCGGUGCAAGUGUGUAGGUAUGCUCCGCAGGCAAAUCCGCGGGGAUGAGCCGAGACACGAGUCCGUGGGCGCAAGCCCUGAAGCUGUUGAGCCACGGCUGCCAAGAAAAGCUUCUAAGUUUAGAUCGCGCGAACCGUACCGCAAACCAACUCAGGUGGAUGGGAUGAAUAAUCCAAGGCGCUCGAGAGAACUCUGGCCAAGGAACUCGGCAAAUUGACCCCGUACCUUCGGAAUAAGGGGUGCUCCCCACGGUGAGACAAAUUCUUGUUCAGCCCCGGGGAGCCGCAGAGAAAUGGUGGUGGCGACUGUUUACUAAAAACAUAGGUCUGUGCGAAGUCCUACAGACGACGUAUACGGACUGACGCCUGCCCGGUGCCGGAAGGUUAAAAGGAGGAGUCAGCGCAAGCGAAGCUCCGAUUUGAAGCCCCGGUAAACGGCGGCCGUAACUAUAACGGUCCUAAGGUAGCGAAAUUCCUUGUCGGGCAAGUUCCGACCUGCACGAAUGGCGUAACGAUCUCCACGCUGUCUCGGCCAGAGACUCGGUGAAAUUGAAGUCGCGGUGAAAAUGCCGUGUACCCGCAGAAAGACGGAAAGACCCU
rnacentral:rRNA from 1 species